rnacentral:rRNA from 1 species
UAGCUAGUUGGUGAGGUAACGGCUUACCAAGGCGACGAUCUGUAGCGGGUCUGAGAGGAUGAUCCGCCACACUGGAACUGAGACACGGUCCAGACUCCUACGGGAUGCAGCAGUGGGGAAUUUUGGACAAUGGGGGCAACCCUGAUCCAGCCAUGCCGCGUGAGUGAAGAAGGCCUUCGGGUUGUAAAGCUCUUUCGGCCGGGAAGAAAUCGCAUGGGCCAAUACCCUGUGUGGAUGACGGUACCGGAAUAAGAAGCACCGGCUAACUACGUGCCAGCAGCCGCGGUAAUACGUAGGGUGCGAGCGUUAAUCGGAAUUACUGGGCGUAAAGCGUGCGCAGGCGGUUUUGUAAGACAGGCGUGAAAUCCCCGGGCUCAACCUGGGAACUGCGUUUGUGACUGCAAGGCUAGAGUACGGCGGAGGGGGGUGGAAUUCCACGUGUAGCAGUGAAAUGCGUAGAGAUGUGGAGGAACACCAAUGGCGAAGGCAGCCCCCUGGGUCGAUACUGACGCUCAUGCACGAAAGCGUGGGUAGCAAACAGGAUUAGAUACCCUGGUAGUCCACGCCCUAAACUAUGUCAACUAGGUGUUGGGUGGGUAAAACCAUUUAGUACCGUAGCUAACGCGUGAAGUUGACCGCCUGGGGAGUACGGCCGCAAGGUUAAAACUCAAAGGAAUUGACGGGGACCCGCACAAGCGGUGGAUGAUGUGGAUUAAUUCGAUGCAACGCGAAAAACCUUACCUACCCUUGACAUGCCAGGAACUUGCCAGAGAUGGCUUGGUGCCCGAAAGGGAGCCUGGACACAGGUGCUGCAUGGCUGUCGUCAGCUCGUGUCGUGAGAUGUUGGGUUAAGUCCCGCAACGAGCGCAACCCUUGUCGUUAAUUGCCAUCAUUUAGUUGGGCACUUUAGCGAGACUGCCGGUGACAAACCGGAGGAAGGUGGGGAUGACGUCAAGUCCUCAUGGCCCUUAUGGGUAGGGCUUCACACGUCAUACAAUGGUCGGUACAGAGGGUCGCCAAGCCGCGAGGUGGAGCCAAUCCCAGAAAGCCGAUCGUAGUCCGGAUUGCAGGCUGCAACUCGCCUGCAUGAAGUCGGAAUCGCUAGUAAUCGUGGAUCAGCAUGUCACGGUGAAUACGUUCCCGGGUCUUGUACACACCGCCCGUCACACCAUGGGAGCGGGUUCCGCCAGAAGUAGGUAGCCUAACCGCAAGGAGGGCGCUUACCACGGCGGGGUUCGUGACUGGGGUGAAGUCGUAACAAGGUAGCCGUAGGGGAACCUGCGGCUG